GCUUGUUUAAGGCCUUUUAUCUUUGAGUCCCAUAAGGGGUAAACCCUAUAUAACCUCAUGAAGUUGGCGAUUUUUGCCCAAGUCUUUGAUGAAAUAAUUUUGCCUUUGCAAACCUAAAAACCCUAAGUCUUUUUCCUGUGAGAAACAAGAGAGAGCAGCCGAGUCUUAUCAAGCUUCAACCACCAAGCUUGUGGCGAUUCUUCUUUUUUUUUUUUUUUUUUUGAAUUAUACAGAGGUAUCCUGGCCCCACAGAAGUGAUCCGGACUAGGCACGUGUUGCCACGUGUCGGUCCUCUGUCCCUGGCGAUGCCGAAAUGUUAAUUCCCUAGUGGCCGGGAUUUGAACCCAGGUGGCGGUACUCACAGCUGUAAGCCCUUUACCACUAGAGCUAGAAGCCCCGGUUAGCGAUUCUUCACCUCCAUUCCAUCCAUCGAUUUGCCUUGAGAGUGAUACACAUCCAGCAAGUCAAAUCCCAUAGCUAUCCACCUACAUCCACUGUUCUUGUUGAGAGAGAUACACAUCCAGCAACAAGGAUCCAUCCCCAAUAUCUCUAUCCUUCUCUUAUUUGUUCUAUCUUGCUUCAUAUAUUUCUAGAUUUUUCAUUCAUUAUAAAAACCCAUAAAAAGUCAUAUUUGCUUCUGUUCUUCAUUUAUCAUUUAGUUUUCUUUCUGGUCAUCAUUUUGAUUCAUAAAAACUCAUAAAAAU
rnacentral:lncRNA from 1 species